GUCCUUGUAAUUGGUUCCGGUCAAUCGGUUGGUCUCAAGAAUACGGGUCAAAGGGUUUGAGGCUGACAUUAUGAUCUGCAGAGAGUAAAGAUUCUAGUUAGACUUUUGUACUUUGAUCCUUAUUUGUUCUAAGGUAUUUUAAAACAAAUGUAACUUCCACUAUUUUCUCGAAUUUCUCACACUCCCCUGGUAGGAAAACGGAAAUCCUACACGACUAGGGUUUCUAGUGGGUACUGCGGUCCCACCGAUCUACAUGGCACCUCACCUAACAGUUAUUGGUGACACAUAGAUGGAUGAGUGUACAACUCUUGUACAAUGCUACUCAAGCAUGUUGCAGUGCAACUCGGUCUCUAAGCCAUGAAAACCUCACCUAACAGUUAUUGGUCACAUUUCUUAGUUAAGUCAGACCCACUGUAUAAUCGUAGGAAUAAAGUCGUCAUUGGGUCCUCACCUAACAGUUAUUGGUGCCCAACCCCACCUU
rnacentral:lncRNA from 1 species